UACAGAGGGGGCGAGCGUUGUUCGGAAUUACUGGGCGUAAAGGGCGCGUAGGCGGCCCGCUAAGUCGAACGUGAAAUCCCCAGGCUCAACCUGGGAACUGCGUCCGAUACUGGCAGGCUUGAAUCCGGGAGAGGGAUGUGGAAUUCCAGGUGUAGCGGUGAGAUGCGUAGAUAUCUGGAGGAACACCGGUGGCGAAGGCGGCAUCCUGGACCGGUAUUGACGCUGAGGCGCGAAAGCGUGGGGAGCGAACAGG
rnacentral:rRNA from 1 species